rnacentral:misc_RNA from 1 species
UUCCUAGUGUAGCGGUGAAAUGCGUAGAGAUUAGGAAGAACACCAGUGGCGAAGGCGCUCUACUGGGCAUAUACUGACACUGAGGGACGAAAGCUAGGGGAGCGAAAGGGAUUAGAUACCCCUGUAGUCCUAGCGGUAAACGAUGGAUACUAGGCGUAGUGCUGUUAGAAGGACUGUGCCGAAGCUAACGCGUUAAGUAUCCCGCCUGGGGAGUACGCACGCAAGUGUGAAACUCAAAGGAAUUGACGGGGACCCGCACAAGCGGUGGAGUAUGUGGUUUAAUUCGAUGCAACGCGAAGAACCUUACCAAGGCUUGACAUCCUGCGAAUCUUGGAGAAAUCUGAGAGUGCCUAAGGGAACGCAGAGACAGGUGGUGCAUGGCUGUCGUCAGCUCGUGUCGUGAGAUGUUGGGUUAAGUCCCGCAACGAGCGCAACCCUCGUCCUUAGUUGCCAGCAUUAAGUUGGGGACUCUAGGGAGACCGCCGGGGAGAACUCGGAGGAAGGUGGGGAUGACGUCAAGUCAGCAUGCCCCUUACGUCUUGGGCUACACACGUACUACAAUGGUUGGGACAAAGGGGAGCGAAACCGCGAGGUGGAGCGAAUCUCAUCAAACCCAGCCACAGUUCAGAUUGCAGGCUGAAACUCGCCUGCAUGAAGGAGGAAUCGCUAGUAAUCGCAGGUCAGCAUACUGCGGUGAAUCCGUUCCCGGGUCUUGUACACACCGCCCGUCACACCAUGGAAGUUGGUCACGCCCGAAGUCGUUAUUCUAACCCAAGUGGAAGGAGACGCCGAAGGUGGGACUAGUGACUGGGGUGAAGUCGUAACAAGGUAGCCGUACCGGAAGGUGUGGCUGGAUCACCUCCUUUAAGGGAGACUUCGAGAAGAAGUCAGCAAGGAAAUGGGGAGGGCUAGAAAA